rnacentral:rRNA from 1 species
ACGCUGAUGGACGAAAGCGUGGGUAGCGAACAGGAUUAGAUACCCUGGUAGUCCACGCCGUAAACGAUGGAUACUAGCUGUUGGGCGCAAGUUCAGUGGCUAAGCGAAAGUGAUAAGUAUCCACCUGGGGAGUACGUUCGCAAGAAUGAAACUCAAAGGAAUUGACGGGGGCCCGCACAAGCGGUGGAGCAUGUGGUUUAAUUCGAUGAUACGCGAGGAACCUUACCAAGGCUUAAAUGUAGAUUGACCGGUUUGGAAACAGACCCUUCGCAAGACAAUUUACAAGGUGCUGCAUGGUUGUCGUCAGCUCGUGCCGUGAGGUGUCAGGUUAAGUCCUAUAACGAGCGCAACCCCUGUUGUUAGUUGCCAGCAUGUAAUGGUGGGGACUCUAAACAGACUGCCUGUGCAAACAGAGAGGAAGGAGGGGACGACGUCAAGUCAUCAUGGCCCUUACGUCCGGGGCUACACACGUGCUACAAUGGGCAGUACAGAGGGCAGCUACCUGGUAACAGGAUGCCAAUCUCAAAAAGCUGUUCACAGUUCGGAUAGAGGUCUGCAACUCGACCUCUUGAAGUUGGAUUCGCUAGUAAUCGCAUAUCAGCAAUGAUGCGGUGAAUACG